rnacentral:rRNA from 1 species
UACGUAGGGCGCAAGCGUUAUCCGGAAUUAUUGGGCGUAAAGAGCUCGUAGGCGGUUUGUCGCGUCUGCCGUGAAAGUCCGGGGCUCAACUCCGGAUCUGCGGUGGGUACGGGCAGACUAGAGUGAUGUAGGGGAGACUGGAAUUCCUGGUGUAGCGGUGAAAUGCGCAGAUAUCAGGAGGAACACCGAUGCGAAGGCAGGUCUCUGGGCAUUAACUGACGCUGAGGAGCGAAAGCAUGGGGGAGCGAACAGGG